rnacentral:rRNA from 1 species
CACGUAGGGGGCGAGCGUUGUCCGGAUUUAUUGGGCGUAAAGAGCUCGUAGGCGGCUCGGUAAGUCGGGUGUGAAACCUCCAGGCUCAACCUGGAGACGCCACCUGAUACUGCUGUGGCUAGAGUCCGGUAGGGGAGUGUGGAAUUCCCGGUGUAGCGGUGAAAUGCGCAGAUAUCGGGAGGAACACCAGCGGCGAAGGCGGCACUCUGGGCUGAUACUGACGCUGAGGAGCGAAAGCGUGGGUAGCAAACAGG